GACGAACGCUGGCGGCGUGCUUAACACAUGCAAGUCGAACGGAAAGGCCCUGCUUUUGUGGGGUGCUCGAGUGGCGAACGGGUGAGUAACACGUGAGUAACCUGCCCUUGACUUUGGGAUAACUUCAGGAAACUGGGGCUAAUACCGGAUAGGAGCUCCUGCUGCAUGGUGGGGGUUGGAAAGUUUCGGCGGUUGGGGAUGGACUCGCGGCUUAUCAGCUUGUUGGUGGGGUAGUGGCUUACCAAGGCUUUGACGGGUAGCCGGCCUGAGAGGGUGACCGGCCACAUUGGGACUGAGAUACGGCCCAGACUCCUACGGGAGGCAGCAGUCGGGAAUCUUGCACAAUGGGCCGAAGCCUGAUGCAGCAACGCCGCGUGCGGGAUGACGGCCUUCUGGUUGUAAACCGCUUUCGCCUGUGACGAAGCGUGAGUGACGGUAAUGGGUAAAGAAGCACCGGCUAACUACGUG
rnacentral:rRNA from 1 species